UCAAAUGCCAUGAAAACGAUCAAAAAGUGCUUUUUGACUUCAAUAACGUGUACAUAAAAAUAGAUAAAGGACGAAAAAUGUAAAAUAAAAGUUUUAAACGAAUUAUGUAGGUAUUCUUGGAGUGCAUAUUGUCCUAUUGUAAUCAAAACACAAAAAAAAAGUAAUGUAGACAACAAAUAGUCAUGAAAAUAAAAUAUACUUAUAUCCAAUUAUGAAAACCAAAUGUCCAGAGAUAAUAUUUUGAAUAAAAUACCUACCUAAUUUUACACUAAAAACUCGUACCUUUUAUUCUCUAUUUACGUACAUAGAGUAAAUUAAAGUAUAAUCACGCACUAA